AGCUCCAAGUAAGCCUGCUAAGUAAACGUC
rnacentral:piRNA from 1 species